rnacentral:rRNA from 1 species
UACAGGGGGUGCAAACGUUGCUCGGAAUCAUUGGGCGUAAAGCGCACGUAGGCGGUCUGUUAUGUCGGAUGUGAAAGCCCUUGGCUCAACUGAGGAAGUGCAUCCGAAACUGGCAGGCUAGAGUACGAAAGAGGAUCGCGGAAUUCCCGGUGUAGAGGUGAAAUUCGUAGAUAUCGGGAGGAACACCGGUGGCGAAGGCGGGUCUCUGGACAGUUCCUGACACUGAGGCACGAAGGCCAGGGGAGCAAACGGG